rnacentral:snoRNA from 1 species
UGGCUGUGAUGACAAACAAAACUUCGUUUCUCGAUGCUGAGACUUGAUUUGUUUCAAGGACCAAAACUGUGCUGACCUUAAUUUGUGCGUGUCUGAGCCAC